UGUAAUUCCGGGCCAAACUUGUCGUCAACUCUGAUUUGAGCUCAGCUCCUGGGUCGAACUGUUUGCAAACAAUAAAUCUGAGAUGGACCCAGCCUGUGUGUGUGUGUGUGUGUGACUCUCCUGGGGUGGAUUGAACAAGCCUCCAGGGGAACGAAACUAGCCGUUUGGGCAACAAUUUGGCGAGCCAGCCAGGAGCCCUUCUGGACCACUCCGGGGCCACGACGAGACCGGCAAAGGGGAUUCGUGAAGUGGCGCCACCAGACCGCUCUUGGAGCCUGUCACGAUCCCCGGGUACGUGAGUCGGGGCACCCGGAAGGUUAAAGGCUCUCCUUUGAAUGAGUCACCCAGGCUGAGUGGGUCCGAAGAGACGGUGCCAGGGUGUUGACGGAGAAAGUAUUCAUUUGCCUUGUGUCACUUGGGUAGUUUGUUUUGUUGAGUGGUCUCUCGGGGAAUUUGGAAUUUUGGAACGUUCAGUAUAUAAGUCUGAACAUUAGCCCCGGGGACUUUGUUCUGAGUGAUUUUGUUUUAGUGUUCAGCAAAUAGGUCUGAAUUUUGAUUGACACAAUGGGUUCGGGUAGCUCCCGAGAAGAAAACUCCACAACCCCAUUAGGAUGCGUGCUAAGAAACUUUAGUGAGUUCAAAGGGAGUUACGGGGUAGAAAUGUUAAAAGAUAGAUUAAUUACUCUCUGUCAGUUGGAGUGGCCGGAUGCCGGUUCUUUUGAUGUGAAUCUGGCUAAGGCAGUGUGGGGAAGGAGGUAGGUCUAACUGAAUGAAUGUGUGUCCCUUUUGUGUUUCCCUCCCUCCUUCCACUGUAUGAGCCGGUGUCACGUCAGUAGCCUUGAGUCUGGGCAGUAAGGACUGCGGGGCAAGGCACUGAGCAGCCCAGACAUCCUAAAUAAGCCUUUCCUGUGUCUUUCUGUGUGCUCAAAAUCAUGGUGACUGGAUCCGAACCUUAUUAAAUACAGGUUUGCUGCACCCUUCCAGAGCCUCCCGCUUGAUGCACCAAUCCACAACUUCAAACCGGGUAACCAAGUUUUGGUACAAAAGUGGAAGAAGGAUCCCCUUGCGGAAAGGUGGGAGGGACCCUACCAGGUGCUGCUGACUACACACACAGCUGUCCGCCUAUCAAACAGCGAUAAGUGGACCCAUUGCUCGAGGAUAAAGCCUUUUCAUCAGAAGGACGCCAACUCCCAGGGUGUGGUCACUCCAAAACCUGAUAACACCCGGGAACAAAAAGCCAACAGGUGGAAAAGUGAACCUGCUGGAGAUUUGAAGUUAUGCUUGCAAAGAUGUGGGCCCUAGUCUAUUUGUUGGGACUCUUGUCCCUUUUAGGUAUUUCGAACCCAAAAGUUAUGUCCACCUGUUAUACUUGUUCUCAAAACAAACUUGCAACCCUCAGUAAGGUUCAGUACAACUGCAAAACUGCUUAGCUCUUAAUUACUUACUUGCAAGUGAAGGAGGGGGUGCAGGAAGUUGAAUUUAUCAAACUGUUGUGUUAAAAUUGAUGAUAAUGGUGAAUUGAUAAAGGACCUAGCAAAUAAUAUGGAAAAGGUAGCACAUGUCCCAGUCCAGACAUGGAACGGGUGGAACUUUAACUGGUUCACAUCCUGGCUUCCUCAGCCUGGAUGGUUGAAGGGUGUGUUGAUGGCCUUAUGCUUGUUAGUGUCAACACUUUGCUUGCUUCCUUGUAUGCUACCGUGCAUCAUAACCCUUCUGAAACAAACUGUUCAGUCAGUUGUUAACCGUGAAAUGCUUGUACACUAUCAAAGAUUGGCUAUUGCUAACACUUAUAAAAAUUUUUAGAGUAAGAAAGCAUCUGAGGGGGGAGUUAUAGUAAAAAUAGGUUAAACUACAUGAUUUUAAAAUAAUGCUUGAGCAGCAACUAUAUAAUAGAAGUGUCUUAUAACCAUCUUAUAACCCUUGUGCAAGAUCAUAAGGUCUAACAACUUAGCUGUGGUCCGCUGUUCUUACUGCUUGCCUUGCAUCUUAAAGUUAUCCCUGCCCAAUGCCCUAAGGUUACGCUAAGAUAAGAGGUUACUAAAAUUUACUAACUUUGCCGCAGUUCCUCUUUUCCUCUGUGCAUGCGACAAAAGAUUUGGCUGCAGUUCUGCUUUUUGAGUGCGCAUGCACUAACCCUGAUAAGUCACACUAACCAAUAAUAAGUUAAGUGCAGCCUACAAAAUAAAACGUAACAACUAGGAAACGGUAAUGCUGCCAAUAAACAUCUAACACGUUAAAACUCUAUGUUCAAUGUAAGCUAUAAAAAUGUAAUUCCAGGCCAAACUUGUCGUCAACUCUGAUUUGAGCUCAGCUCCUGGGUCGAACUGUUUGCAAACAAUAAAUCUGAGAUGAACCCA